rnacentral:rRNA from 1 species
AUAAAAAAAAAAAACGCCCGAUCUCGUCCGAAGCUAAGCAGGGUCGGGCCUGGUUAGUACUUGGAUGGGAGACCGCCUGGGAAUACCAGGUGCUGUA